AAUCAGUCAGUAAUAAUUCAUAAGUAAAUCAUAAAAUUUAUGUAUAAUUCCUUAGUAGUCCUAGAUCAAUUUAUUUUAAGAGACAUCAAUAAUUUUGAGAUUAUUGUAACUAUAAUUCAAUCCCCUUUCCGCUGGUGCUUCUUGGCGCAUCCUCCCACCGUGCAGUCCUCCACCACCUCUUUGAUGGUCUCUCCUUGACAUCCUCCACCAACUCUUCUAUUGUCUUUUCUAGCUGUCCUCCAUUGCUUUGCUGAUCAGUAUAAGCUAAAAGCAACAAGCCCCGACUUCAUCUUCGAGCCCAUUUUUUAUGCGACUCUCAUGAAGACACAGGCAGAGGUGCUUCCAUGAUUGAUGAAUAUAAAAGAUGUAGUCCUGGAGGUCAAAAUCAAGAUAGCAUAGCCGUUGUGGUUGUAAAUAGGAGAUACCUGCAAAGUAAAAAGAAGACACUCGAAAAAUGCAUAUAUCUAUUUAGUCUGCCGAAUUCAGACUAUUGGAUUUGAAGAAAUGGCACUUUGAGUGCUAGAAUUUAGACCGGAAGCAUCGAGUAUCCGACUCUACCUGAAAAUAUAUUGUGGCUAUCUUCUGCUGCUAAGUACCACCUCCUCUAAGAAGAGAUUUGAGAUGAAAUUAAUUGUGCUUAGCAAAGACCGAACAAUGUUGACUAUGGGGCCUAUGUUCUCAUGUUCACGGAGAUGCAAGAUGACAAAAAUUUUCAGAUGAUUACCUCUGUGCUUCCCACGUCCUCCAUUGGCUCCCCGAAGCUGGGAUAUGAUGGUGAGAUUGCAUCAGCCUUCUUCCUAUAUAUAUCAGGGCUGGACAUUGUACUUCUUACAUGUUCAGCUUCUCCCUCUCUACUAGCUAAUGCUGCCUUAAGACUAGCUAUCUGAAACAAAGGGAGGAAAACAUUAUCAUUCAGAAGAGCUACAAAGCAGUGUAAAUAAAAUAAUGUGCAGGCUGUAUCAACCAAUGCAGCUCAAGAAAUGCCAUGAAGGUAAAACCUGCUCUCUGAGCUCUUUGACUUCUCCAUUAUCUUUGUUUUUCUUGGCAGCACCUAGCUCAACAGUAGCAACCCGGUCAGCAAAUUUGAGAGUGCUUAUCGUCUCACCAAUGGCAUCCAUCUCCGGGCUUAUGUGGACAAACAUCAACGUUUUGGCUUGCCCUCCUGAAUAUCAAAAGCAGAAAUUUAAUCCUAUCCCCCUGGCAAUAUGAUAAGAUUGCCUGAUAAGAUCUAAAAUAUCAUGUCUUACCGAGAGAGUCUUGAAGUAAUUGUGUGAGUUUGCUAUUCCUAUAAGCCUGUCUCCUUUGACCUCGGAUUUAUCUACUCUUUCACUCCCUGCCAAAUCAACCAGAUGCAUGCAUCCUCGAAGAAUGUUCCCAGAUGUCAAGUCUCUUCCUUGAACAUGAAUGGUCAAGCAACUGCAAAUAAAUCCAUCAGUAAUGCAUACAAAAGAGGAACUGCAUCUAAUUAGUAUUUGAAUAGAAAACAUCCAAACCUGUGAGAGCG